UUUUUUAAAAGAAUGUUCUAUGUGUUCAACAAAAGCUACAGGUUUGCUCUUGGGUUUCUGAUGGGGCAUUGCAUUUUGUUCCCUGUAUAUAUUACUCCCUAAAUUUGUUUAAAAUGUCAAGAAACUAUUUGGCGCUUGUUUUGCAGGGCUCAGCGGUGUUUUGGUACAAUCUCUUUCCCAGUGGAGAAGGUGACUACAGCACACGGCAUGCAGCCUGUCCAGUAUUAGUUGGAAACAAAUGGGUGUCUAACAAGUGGAUCCACGAACGCGGACAGGAAUUCCGACGAAGGUGUAACUUGUCUGAGAUGGAUUGAGGGCACACAGUGUUGGCAAAUCGACCCCUCUGUUCGUACCACCAACACUACAGCUCAGUCCUGUUUACGCUCCUAUAUUCCCCAGCACUCCUCAAGUCACCGACCUGACUUAAACAUCCUUUAGUUUUACAUGGAAGCCUGGGCAGAGAAGUUCACGUUUUAUAACCUUUUCCAUGGAUAGAUUUGAAUCGAGCUAGGCUGAGCUGGUUAAAUGACACAAAAUAUUUCUCUAAAUCAUGUGUUUUUUACCCUCUUAGUAUUCCCAUAUAUUACACGGCUCUUUUCUACCAAUUGAUUUUUAUGCAACAAUCAUGUUUUUGAAUUUAUACCUCUCAGCAAGCAAUGGAAGCGAUUAUUCCCCACCCAACUACGCCUUUCUUGGGCAUCUGUUUGCAGCGUGACACUUCUGGGAAUAAUUCUGAUAAAAGUGCUUAAUGGAACUGAGUACACUCUUCGAAUGUUAUUGAUGGAAGGGCAUUGCUUCAUGUCAGCCCAAUGAAUAAAGCAUUUUCCAGAAUGCAGUUACAUUAGUGUGCAUGGAAUAAUAGUUCUCUCAAAUCAUGUAAUCCAUACAUGAUGUUGACUUUAGAAAUACAUUAUCUUAAAUGCAAGAAAAUCAUCUGAAUCUUCCCUAAACUUGGUCAUUUUCUUGAACUAAUGUUAAAAAUCAGGAUUUUUUUUUUGAUUUACAGAUAUAAUUAAAGUAUAUCGUUGAUCCACUUUUUGUAAUAUAUUUGACCAUGGGUGGUGUAGACCAGAAAUACCGUUUAAUAGUGACACACUGUGCCUGAUGCACUCUGAAUGCAAUAUAGGGCACACAAUUCACUCCAACUUUUACUCCCUUCUUGAGAAUCACAAUCACAAGUGUCUCUCCUUUUAGCCAUUAACUACUAGAUCCAGCAUCCCUGUUGAAACAUUAUAGUUGUACCCCUAACAAUAAUCAUUCAUUAUUUCCAACACUCAAUUGGAUUUUUGGUAUCAAUUUGCUCAUCUUAGGCACCUUGGUAAUUGGCCAAAAAAAUAUGUUUGCUGUGUAUAUUGCUCAGAUAUGAUUUUUUAAAGUUUUUAAAUGUGUAUAUAUACAUUUCAUUUUUGCUCCAAAGUCUUGUUAAUUUACCCGGAUAAUCAUGUUUUAAAAGUAACAAUCAGUGGGUAAAAUUUUAACGUGUGCAAAAUGUCAAAAAUGAAUAUUUUUAAACUGUAAAGCUUUUGGAGUAAGAGAUAAAUGUGACAAAAUAACAUGAUAAUCACAUGCUCAAGAGGAUCUUUAUAAUUGGAAGUGCUUUUUCUGUGCCAUCAGUGGGAGAAUUGUGUAUUUAUAUAUCUUUAUUUUGAAAUAAAACCUGGUCUUUUCUGUUUUAAGAUACUAUUUCCUUUAAUGUUUCAUUAUGUACUCGGCUACAAGAGUAGUUUAACUCAAUGCCCCAUCAAUUGUUCAGAGGCAAGUGAUUGUCAGGAUGUGAGAUAUAAACCUAUUAGAUUAAGCAGUGAGCUACAAUCAAGCUUCAUUUCACUGAUAAUUUUAUAUUAAAAAAAAUAAUGGAAAGAAUCAAUGCAACUUUAUCUAGUUUAAAUAAUCUGACUUGACUUCAGCUCAUGCUUGGGAACCUGUUACUACUGGGGUGAGAGACAUCGAGUCGUGUUGCCUAAAUCUCACCCCUUUACCAGCAGAAGAACCAGUGGAUAAUGUCAAUCUGGCAUCAACACACUCCCUUGUCAAGAAAGUGCUGUAUGCUGGAGGAUUGAUACCUGCCAAGAGUUCUCUUGCCCACCUGCAAUAGUGCUGAUUAGUGCAAGAGUGGCCAAGUCACCUGUGCAAACAUGUAAUCUUUUAAUCAUUUUAUAAAAAUGGUUUAUCAUGCUCUCACUCCAGCACCUUUCACUUUGCACCAUUCACCCAGCUUGGGCUCCCCAGGGGAGUUUAUGAUGCAGUAGCUGUAUCAAUCCCAGUGAGUGGGAGUACUUGUUAGUAUUGGAACCUGCUCCCAUGCCAAUAGCCACGACGCAUCAAACCAGAACUUGACACACGAACCAUUGGAUUUAAUCAUACUUGUCAACUUCUCUACAUGAAUCAGAGACCACUAAGAUAUGCUGUGUUUUAAUGUUAUUUUAAUAACCAUUCCCUUCCCUUAAAUUACCAGUUUAAAGAUUAGGUUUUUUUCUGAACAUGCAAAUUUGCAGAUUUUCUUAUUAACCGAGUGUUGCUCCUACACAUCUGAGUUUAGUAUUUUGACUCUAAUUUUGUUUUCCUUUCUGUUCCAAAUGUAAACUUGAACAAGAAAAUAAAGUCUCACUGUGUAAGCAGUGAUAGUUUAUCCUUUUAAA